GAGUAGAUCCGUUACCAUGACAACUGCUUGCCAGAGGAUAGGGACGGAUGGACCUACCAAAUGCUAUACUCGACAGUGAGCCUGCAAUUUCUUGUAGCCACUUUGUAAAAACAUCUUCAGCAGCUAGAGCCGGGGCAGCUAAAGGCUGGGUGAGGCUGCUUUCAAGUGACAUGAGUGUAUCCUCAGCAUCCUUGACAGAUGUUACCUGGCUCGGGUGAAAGACUGCCAGACAGGGUGCUUACUCCCAAACUUGGUGACUGAGGACAAAAGGGAAGUCUCACGAUACAGAAGGGUAUGUGGAGCUCCCUGGCCAGCCAGAGUACCCAAGACUCCAGAUUCAGAGGAAGACUGCCUCAAAAAAUAAGACGGAAAGCAACAGAGGAGGACACUUGGCAUUAACCUCUGGCCUCCACAUACACAUAUAUACACAGGUCCUGUGUUUCCAAAGCCCAUGGGUCCGACCCAUUGCUAGUCAGUGAAGCUGUUCUCUAUGGGGGCAGUGCAGAACCCACUCUGCAAACAGCAAAGCACAUCAUCCCAGGACACUCCCUUCUCACGAGACUUCUGGCGCGCUCUCAUGCCAUGAGUGAACACUGGCCAUACGGCUUACCAUCAUCACACGACCGAUUUCUGCCAUGCACAGUGUUUCCAUGAUCUACAACUGACCAAUCUAAGACUCGGGCAGCUGGGAGAGGAGGUGCGGUGAGCCGCUCCAAAGUCGCACUUGCUUUCUUGCACCGUGUCUGAGCAACGACUACAGAGGCCCGGGAAUCCAAUGCCACUCCUUUCUGUCUUAAAACCGAUGCCAAGUCUGAGGCUCGUCCGUGUGCCUUCCCCGCGGGGGCAGCUCUCUGUUAACAAAGCUGCCUGCUUGUAAGUGGCGAGGCAAACACAAGAGGAGCCCUUCCAGACGUGAGACAAGAAAGAAGGCAAACAGGAAGAUCGUCUGUUAACAAGCUCGCUGAUGGAUGGUUUGGAAGAACAAAGAGAGCAGAUGCCACGCCAGUCAGCCUUACCGACGGCCGCACACCUUCGAUGGCACUCCACAGUGAUGGUGUGUGGCAGUUUAGGGUGGGAUGGCUGCAAGACGUGAGGAUGAAAUGCUCUGCUUCGAAUGAUGUAGAUAGAUGUUUGCUAAGUUUGCUUUUCAGUGUACAUGCUUAUCAGGGGUAAUAGUGGGGGGGAGGAUAGAUUUCACCUCAGUUUCAUGGAGUUGACAUCUACUAAAGUUAACAGGGCAGAGCUGUAAAAUGUUCUUUUAACCUGGCACCCGAGUCUUCUUGGGAAAACAGAGUUGUCACAGACUGCCAACACUACAGGUGACAGCAUCCAUCAGUUUUCCAAAUCUGUCGUCUCUCUUGUUUGCCUCUAGACACCUGGAGGCACUGCCCCUCCCCUGAGAGGAUGGUGUCCUCUUUGCUGGCUUGCAAGCCCUUCCAGGGCCUUGUGGGGUGCCACCCAGAGUGAACAGCACCCCUGAACACUGUCUGCAGAGGCCUUGCUCUAUCUGAGUCAGAUCUCUGCACUCCAUGACACCGAGGGCUGUCCCACCGCCUGCCCCUCUCUCUUCAGGCAGGCGGAGACCCCUGUUCUCUGUACAGAGCCUGGCACGGAACAGCACUCAGAAAAUAUUUGCUGAGUGCUGGGGAAAAAAGAAGAACAAAUCACUAGAAAGGUUGGGGGGAGGAUCACUGAGGGCAAGGGAACGACACAAAUUUACACACACACACAAAAAAAAAAAAGACUCAGUUUGUCUUUUCAGAGGUGUUUGGUAGCUUUCGAAAUCGCCUGCCGGCUGGACGAUAGGAUCACCGAACAGAGGGUGCCGAGGUCACAUGGCCUCACAGCAACAACUCGCAGGACACGCGCAUCUGGUCCAGGAGGAGUCAUAGACAUGCUGACACUCUGUCAUCUUGGCAGCCACUUCCCCCUGAAGGGACACAAGCUUUGGGCGUGUUUUCCAGAAGGACACAGACGAAAGCAGUAUCUUUUUGUUCCCCUGCUCUGCUAUGUCCCCCAGGGAUAGUGGCCCUCUACCCCCAAGAUGGUCCCUGUUGCCUCUGAUGAACAGGUGUUCCCCCCUAAAAACCUGAGGUACUCGAAGAGGGCAAUGGACUGACUAAAUCCCAAAGAUCCCGAGAAAGGUCACAACACACAGGGGAUACACAGAGGAUGCACAGUGACUCGUUCCCCAGUCUUUGACCCACAAGAACCCCACAGAGGUGUCUGUGUGAGGCCUGCAAGCCCGGUCUCAAUUUCACCCUCCUGGGACACAGGCCCAGUGGUUUCUGAGAGGAGCACAGGCCAGUCGCCUAAAAAGCUAACAGUCUCAAUCUGUGUGCUGCCUAGAGAAAUCGAGAGGCCUCCUCAAGUGACUCUGAGGAAACCGAGAGCUGGGGAAGAGGGCUCUGCUGGUUAACAGCACUAUCAGACCGAGGGAAGAUCCAGAAUUUCAAAAGACCUUCAGUUCGUCCUGUGUGAAAAAUAAAAAAUUUAAAGUGGAAUACAUAAAGCCUUGAAGUUCAAACAUAAAUAAAUGAAAGCAGAACCCUGAGAUGCCACUGCUCCCCCGAGCUCGGCAGAUCUCAGGGAACUGUAGCCAGAAAGGCCUAAGGCACCGAGUGGUUCAAGGUCCAGCCUUUCCAUGUUCUUUCCGGGAAAUCGAGACUCUGGAGGGAAUGAGAGUGGGAGGGUAAGCGCCUUCUCCUGUGGAAGCCGUCUACCAGGCAGGCUUCUGCCGUCAGCAAACCCUUCCCACUCCCCACCCAAACCCACAGAGCAAGAGACUGAAAAAGCCACACAAUCAUCCCUGGGACUGUGACCUUUAAAUGUUUAAGCAGGGAUCUACUUAAGUGCUGGGUAAAAAAGCAGGCGAUUAGUUUCCACGUGAGUCACAAGAUCCCCUCAGUGAAACAAUUCAAUUAAAUAUUUAAUGCCUUAGGUCUCAUCUGAGAUGUCGUGAAGAUAACCUGAUGCACCCUGGCCCGGGUCUCAAUUGAGCAAAGGUAGAAAGAGGACCCACACACACACACCAACCCCUCCACUCCGCCUCUCAAAGAGGAAGCACAGCUUUGGGAGAACGGGCCUUUAUGAACACAAAAGCCAGGCCUGGUGGGAAUGACAGUGACACAUCAGUCAUCUCUCUGGAACUAUUAUGGCCGCUUUUCCAUGGAAAGUCCUGACUGUCCUUUGGGGAAGUCAGAUUCUCGAGCACACUGAACACUGGGCACCAGGCCUGGACCAUCUUGUCUCAGGUUACAUGUUGCCAGGUGCUGGCUCUCCUCUCUCAGCUAAGACUACCCUCCUCAGCUAGCAAUGAGUGAACCAGGGCAGCUGCAUGCACACGCACACAUGUAACAUGGGAGACGUUGGAGAGGUUAGUUGGCAUAGCUAUAGUAAUCAUCUCAUUAUGUCAACCAAAGCUUCUUGUUGUACGCUUGAGGGUGUGUGUGUGUGUGUGUGUGUGUGUGUGUAUGCACGUGUGUUCAUUAUUUUAUUUCUGUUUUGUUGAGGCAGAGAUUCACACUGCAGGGAAGGCUGGUCUUGAACCGUCUUCUUGACACAACUUCCACAGUGACGGGAUUACUAGGCAAGGACUGCCGUGCCCAGAUCACUUUAGUUUAGUUAUUUUCCCUUUUUUUCUUUUAAAAGACAACGAUCCUCAACGUACAGGAUAUAGAGAGGCCUAAGGCAAGGUCAGGGACUGACCUUACUCUAACAAGGAGUAAGAACAGUUCAACCCCAUUGGCCUUUACCAGUUCUUCUAGGGGGGUUGGAUGAAGCAUUCAAGUGAAUAAUCCCCAAAAUUGGAUUAUUCAAACCCUCUGAAGCACUGUAAUAAUAACAUAAGCGUCCCCUUAGCGUGGCUCCUUCAAAAUAUGUUCAUCCUGCUGGAGAUGCUUAACGCCAACCUUAUUUGUUGUCAUGGGAACCCCACGGAACGUUCAUCUUCUUACAAAGACCCCAUGCAAGGCCGCAGCGUGUGCUCACAUGCGCGCACACACAUUAAACCUGCCCUGCUUCCCAGAUGUUUCCCAUUAAUGUAGCGAUCACUCACCUUUGCAAGCAGCUGCCUGGAACGGCUGCCGCGACUGGAAAACGCCACCUUCCCUGUUUUAGUAAACAUAAGUAAAUCUCAUUUCCUAAAAUAGUUUUGUGCUCUGACUGUCCCCCUAAAACCUCUCAGCGGCAUACUGGACAUUUGCUGACUCGGCAAAUGGGCUCAAAGGAAGAAGCGUGUGGAGCCAAGCACUCACACCUGGCUUAAAAACAGAGCCCCUCAUACGCAAAGCACCCCGAAAACAUGGCCAUCUUGCACUUCAGGGUGCAAACGGGAAGGGUCUAUGUGUUGAGGGUAUGGGCCAUCGUUUCCUGUGGGCAGGCUGAAAUGAGCUGAAAACCAGAGUUUCACAUCAGCACAUGUAGUUACUCCUGCAUAUAUUCAAGGAGGCCUGUUGCUGUUACCAUGCAGGAUCUGUAUAAGGCAAAAGAAGUCCCUGCUCUCAGCAACUGGACCAGAGUGGGUGAGGAGGAGGCAUGCACACACUAUUUGCUCUCUACUGGGAGAGUGCGCCAAACCUAACGCAGAGUUCAGAGGGCAGAAGAAUACAGGGUUUUUGAGCAGGGAAUGGGCUUCCCAGAGAGUUCUCAGCCCAGGCUGAGAAAGGAAAAAUCAGGCAAGGCAUGGAUUAGAUUAAGAGAGGGUGGGUGACUUGAAGGGGUCUGGACCCAGGUAAAUGAUAGCCAUUAACAGAUUGGGGGGGGGGGGGGGGAGGCCUGGAGAGUGGCUGCUCUUCCAGAGGUCCUGAGUUCAAUUCCCAGCAACCACAACAACCAUCUAUAAUGAGAUCUUGUACCUUCUUUUGGCCUGCAGAAUGUCCAUGCAGGCAGAACACUGUAUACAUAAUAAAUAAAUCUUGGGGCGGGGCGGCUGACUCAGGAGAGACCUUGGGAAUGGUAUUUUAGGUGAUGUGGUAUCUGGAGGUUGAGAGAAAGGCAAGCUUGCCACUGGAGGCCCACGUAACCUCCACCUGGGACCACCACCCACCCCCCCAACACACACACACAUACACACACACACACACACACACACACACACACACACACAGAUGCAAAAAUCUGGAGGAGGCUGCUUGGGUUGGCUGCAUCUCAGGGGCCAUGAGGACAGCCAAAUAUCCUCCAAACUGUGCCAGCCACAUGGACGGCCCUGUCAUAAAUGUCUGUUCAGAUGAACGGAGAGCAAUCAGAAAGCCCUGGAAAUGGGCGUCUGACGAGGUGGACUUGCCCAGCAUGGGGAGGAUAGACGAGAAUGAAUCAGGUCUUUCUACAAAGCCGUUCGCCACCUCCACAUUCAAAUGGCAGAAGUCUGGCAAGCACCUGAAAAGCCUCCUGACGCACGCCACAGCUAUUUCAUAGAGAAAUGUUCCUCUCCCCGCGCCUGUAUUUUCCCAGUGACAGACAGACGUUGGCAAUUGGAACAACACAUGGCCCUGAGUCUGUCAGGCCCUGAGUGCUUGGAUUCCUGAUCUAAAAAUGUCACUCUAUCCUUUUCAGGGAAAUGGCUUUCUAGGCAGAGCUCUGGGCUUUGGAGCCUCAAAGGAGAACGAGGGAAAAGACAUCAUGCAAAGAGCCCACACCCUUGUCUAGGGGCCAGUACUGCUGCUGCCCUGGAUCCGCCUCUCAAUAGCUGCACAGUGCAAGCAAACAUCAGCCCUUUCUGAGCCUCAGCAGGCUCGUCUGUCAAGCGGAAUACACAAACCUACAUCGUGUAUUAUGAGGAGGGAGAGCCUAAGCUCCUUCGCAGGUACACAUAUGUCAUUGCAUAUAUGUCAAUGCUGAGCUGUCCACGAAGGAUGUUGUUGCACAGCAGGGAGCUGAACCCUUCUCAACCACCCAUUGAAGACACGAGCUUACUCUUGAAAGGUGAAAUUAGCCGGGCGGUGGCGGUGCACGCCUUUAAUCCCAGCACUUGGGAGGCAGAGGCAGGCAGAUUUUUGAGUUUGAGGACAGCCUGGUCUGCAAAGUGAGUUCCAGGACUGCCAAGGCUACACAGAGAAACCUUGUCUCGAAAAAAGCAAUAUAUAUAUAAAACUUUAGGCAAGGUUUCUGAGGACUGGCUUGCAGUUCUUUGACAUGGGAUAACGUUAUUUGGGUUUUUUUGUUUGUUUGUUUUGUUUUUUUAAAACAAAGUCCAAAUGGAACAGACCAUAAACUAGCAAGACAAUACUACCCCACCCCACCCUACCCCCAUAUAGUUCAGUACCUGACUGAAAAGGCCAGCUACGACAGCCCUGCACAAAGCCUGCAGCUCUGGGGGUUGCUGUGGAGGAGCCCUGAUGCUCCAGCCCAGAGCACAGCUGCACUCUCUUCACAUGCAUCACAAAGUCACCUUCAUUUCCUUGGAAACAGACCCCGGGCAAAGUUGGAGAGUGGAAUGUCUGCCUUUAAGAAUUGCAUCCUUGGGCUGGAGAGAUCUCUUAGCAGUUACGAGCAUUGACUGCUCUUUCAGAGGUCCUGAGUUCAAUUCCCGGCAACCACAUUGUGACUCACAACCAUCUGUAAUGAGAUCUGACACUCUCUUCUGGUGCUGUCUGAAGACAACAACAGUGUACUUAUUUUCAACCAGAGUGAGCAGAGGUCCUAAAUUCAAUUCCCAGCAACCACAUGAAGGCUCACCACCUUCUAUACAGCUACAGUGUACCCAAAUACAUAAAAAAAAUAAAUUUUUUAAAAUUGCAUCCUCACCAUGUUUCUACCCAGAAAAAUCUAGGCAUCAGAUUUAGCAUCUACGACUUAGCUCCUUGCCUCCUGGUGGGGAGAACUUCCUCUGGUGAGACAUAAACUAAUGUCUUCCAUUGUAUGAUAGAGCACCACCACCAAACAAACAAAGUACAAGCCCAACCUGGGGAGUCAUGAUGUUUAUUGAGCAUAGAUGAGAAGUGCCAAGCUGGGCGUGGUGGCACACGCCUUUAAUCCCAGCACUCGGGAGGCAGAGGCAGGCGGAUUUCUGAGUUCGAGGCCAGCCUGGUCUACAAAGUGAGUUCCAGGACAGCCAGGGCUACACAGAGAAACCCUGUCUCGAAAACCUCCCCCCCCCAAAAAAAGUGGCUUACAGGAGUAUAGGUCACCCCCCUAAGCAGCUGCACUACUAGAGUCUCACUCCAGCUCUUUCCUAUAGCUGCACCCACAUCUCCACUGACCUUCCAUAUACUAGACACUCCAGUACUCCUCAAGACCACACGUCCCACUGUACAGACUCACAUAGGCUGGGUGGAGAGACACGGGAGGGAGACGCUGGAAUCUCAGGCAGGGAGCCAAUGACCCUCCCAGCUGCUCCUCCUUCUGUGAGGGAGGGUCACCAGCCAGCAGCCUGGAUCUCUGGAAUGUCUUGCAAGUUAAGAGAGCAGUUUUCAUGACAGCUCUCCAUACACCUACUACCUCACAUCCUAGAUGGCUCUAGGGCCAAUUAAGUGACAAUGUAGUCUAUGACUGUGGCAUCUACUGUAUGCAGCCGGAAACCAGAGUGCAGAAAAAUUAUCCAAAGGGAGGUUUUAAUUCAAAAAGACAAAAUGCCAGGGCCAGGCCACUUAACCAAGCUCCGUAAUGCAAAGGGUGAUGAUAAUAAAAUUUCCUGAAAGGACAGAACAGAAGACAGGCCACAGCAGACCCAAAGAACUGGGGGAGGUAUGGGAGUCUUAAUUUUACACGGGGGUAGGAGGACGGGGGUUGGCAUCAUAGAGACAGUGUGAGUGUGGAAAUCAGAGAACAACGUAAAGAACUAGGCUUUCGCCAUUCACACCACAUGGGUUUCAGGAAUCAAACUCAAGUAGUUUGGCUUGGCAGCAAGAACCUUUAACUCCCAAACCAUCUCCCCAACCCUAGCUAGAGGGGUCAUUCAAGAUUGGAGUUAUUUCUCACUACCCCAAACCACUCUAAGUGUCAUUAGCUCUUUUGAGGAUGUUCUAGGGGCACGCUAUAGGGCACUGAUAAGAUUCUGCCAGAAUGCUGAGCGAAAGACUGAUCCCACGGUGGAGGCUGCCCCAGUCCAAAGCACCGUGUGAAGCACGAAGUCAGCCUCAGAGCGGCAGGCGGACACGGAGUGGGGCUCUAGCGAUACUCCACCAAUGGGCAGUUUGGUGGGAGGCAUGCCACUUGCCUGUGGGAGGCAUCAAGGUAAUCUCCUACUGGCUGGAAUGGCAAAGACCAGAAGAGGACCCAUCAGAAGCCUUUGUAGAGACUCCUGCCUGUAUACCUCACCCUCUGGGUAUCACCCUAACCUCUGCAGCAGUGGACGAGAGGGCAAGGCAGAAAGACCACAUCUCCAUGGUGACAGUCCUAGGCUGAGACAUGCUGACCCAGCUCAGACCAAGGCCUCCCUGGGCAGCAGGGCGCAGUGACUCCUGAGCCAGUAGUUUGGUCCCAGCCAUCACAGCCUGCAUAUGAGGAGGGUUGGAGAGACACGGUGUGAUAUUGCUUCAUUUAUCUCAUUUACUAAGAAGCACCCGUGUGGCCCGUGUCAAGGUGCAUGUAGAAGCCUUUCCGGGAUCUGCAGAGACUCCCUCCAGUGAUCAAAGGGAAAAGAGAACCCAUCUUGGUUUCCCCUAUGACACUGAACAUGAGGUUCUGACACAGGUAUCUCCAGAGCUCAAUGCUGCCUCAAGACCUAGAAUCGUAGCAUGCUACUUAAAAUAGCUCAGCUACUCAGCCCUUAAGGCACGAGGGAUGGCUGAGAGAACGCAGGUCAGACUGAGACAUUAGCAGAGUGCCCGCUUAGGCACCUGUUCCCAUGACACUACAAAGCUCCUCUCUGCGGCAUAAAGUAGAAGCAGAAGGGACAGCCAGGUCCUCAGGGCAAGGUCAAAGGAGGAGAAUGUGUGUUAGGGUCAGGGCUCACGUCAGAACUGCCAGACUCCAGCUCUGUAACAGAGAGCCCACAUAGCAAGGAGAGGGAAGUAACAUGGACCCAGGGACUUAGAUGAGAAUACUAAAGAGGAGUCAUGGGGGGAGGGGGGGCACGGAGGUGGGAUCAGCAAUUUGCUGGAGUUGGGGUUAUUAUAUCCUUAGGAUUACUGAGUGAGGCGGCUCAAGAGCAAAAGCAUAGGUGAGAGGUGAGAGGUGAGAGGUGAAAGGCCCUGGGUGCCAGUGUGAGGCGUCUGAACUGCCACAGGCCUCUGGGAGCCCAACAAACCCUAACGCCAGAGAAAGAGCUACUGCUACUUACUGAUGCUUCCUGGGAGAAUGACAGGAAGAGGCCAUGGAAAGAGAGAGGAUGCAUAGAACAGGGUACCAAGGGCACUGAUGCUGGGAUGGGGGGGUGGGGGGGGCAGCGGCACACGUCCUAUCUUCUGGGAGACCUGAUUUUCCAGGAUGCCUACCAUCCCUGGACUUCCUACUGCCCCCACCACAGUCACUAGGACACAGCACAAAUUACUUCUUCCAAUUAAGCUACCACCACAGGAUGCUAAAUAUGAUGUACACCGGCGGGGGGGGGGGGGGGGGGGGCGGGGCGGGGCUUCCUAGCCCCAGAUGGCAUUUAUGGCCUUCAUCAGUAAGAAGGCUUGUCUCUUGCUCUCCAGGGUUUAAACAUGUAGAUGUCGAACCUCAAGCAACAGCCUCUGCCCCCAUAGGCCCCCAGAGGCCUUCACGGGUCCCCUUAGGCCCCAGAGGCUCCCUCAGGCUCUCAUGGCCCCCCUCAGGCUCCUGUAGGCUCCCUCACUUCCCCCCUCCCAUCCCCAAGCCAUUGUGAUAGGCACUCUGAGGAAGGGCAGGAAGGAAAUAAGAGCAGAGCCUAUAGAGACCAGGCUAUGCUAUGCUCACUUUCAAGCCCACUGUCCUGAAGGCUUUGGGGAUGCCAGUCAACAGCCAAAGUCAAGGUUGAUAGCAUUUACCCAGUAUCAGCAGCACAGCCAUUUUAUCAGCUCAGUCACAGUGAAGGCUAGCCACCAAGGCCAUGUGAUGGGCCACACCCUGCCAGAGGCACUGUGUGAAAUCUCACUUAAUCUUCAUAACUAUUUUAUAUGGCUGCUACUGCGAGGCCGGGCAGACACGGACUUCAAGUCCAUCUGGUACCAGCGACUGUCUUGCUAUUAUACCUCACUACACUCUGGAUCUGACAGACACUUGUCUUACAGAAUCCUAAUAUCUACAGCAAGCAGGGGCUCUUCUCUUGGGAGGGGGGCUUCAGUUAUAGUGGCCCCAGAGCACUGAGAACCGGGACAGUGGGCGGGAUGGAAAGAAGGCUAGGAAAGUUUUAAUACAGUGUAUGAAAACUGUUCUAUCCUAUUAGUAGUAGUUGAACUUUCACUGUGUCUAAUUUGCAAAUUAAACUUUAUCAUAGAUAUAUAUAGAGAGAGAUAGAUAUAGAUGAGAUAGAAUAUACAUUUCAGUACUUUUCUAUGGUUUCUAUAUGUUUAGGUGGGAAUGGGGAGAGAGUUCUCAUUUUAUUCAUCAAGAGGGCAAGGAAGGAAAUGAGCUAAUAAUGUGAGCUCACAUAUACAGUCUUGGGCCUUGGGGUGAUAAUUUAGUCAAUGGCAGGAUGGUGGUCUCAUAAAAGGUUGCGACCUAGAGACACCAUGGCCACCUUAUUUUGUGUAAGCACACUCUAAUGCUCACACAAUGACAACCUGACUAACAACACACACAUCCCGAGGCAACGCAUGCGACAGUGAGCACUCAAAAGCCAGAGCCACGCUGGAGUACUGCGUGCAUGGCCGAUCCUCUCAUCCUUCUAACUACUGUGUGAGUAAGUGCCGGGGCGAUGUCCAUUACAUAUAAAUGGAAGCGUGACUCGCGAUUAAGUCAUUUACAGCUCCCAGUUAUGGAAUUACACAGCUGGAUCUGGAGCUCUAUGGACACCUGACACUGCAGCCUACGUAUGAUGUGACCGAUGUGACCGUAUGAUGUGACCGAUGUGACCGUUGACUGUGGCUGGCUUUGGCAGGCGCCUCCCAUCCGAGGCACCAACUGUGGAGGCAUGUGAGAGCCCCCAAACUUGGAUGACAGCCCCAGUGCACAGGUGACCUCAAGCUGUGGUCAACCAGCUCCAUGCUGCACCUCAUCCCAAGCUGGUUGUAUCUGUCAAGAUGUCUUUCUUGGCUUCUCUUUAUCUCAGAGCCACUGUCAGGGCUCUUGUCAGGAAAGCCCUCGGCCUCCCAGCUCCCAUCUACCCACAACUAGAGCCACCUUCAGCAUGGGUCCUCUGCCAACUUCCCCCAGGGACCUUGUCUCAUCAUGCCCUCUAAAGGUGAUGGUGGAGAGACCAUGGCUCCCUCCAUGGCCCAGCCAUGAGGCCAGAGCUCGAGCUGCAGCUAAUAGGACAUCAAGACUGAGUUCUGGAACAUGCUGUGGUUGUGGCUUUUUGUUUUGUUUUGUUUUGUUUGCUUUUAAUAAAAACAACUAGAUCAAGGGAAAAGGUAAUAAGCAAACCUCCUGUUUUUUUAAAAAGAUUUGUUUAUGUAUCUUAUGUGUUUGUUAUGUGCCUAUGAGUAUGUGUGAGUACAGAGUGUAUGUCUGGUAUCCUCAAAGGACAAAGGGCAUUGCAUCCUGCAGUUGAAGUUACAUGUGCUGGUAACAAAACUAGGUCCUCUACCAGAACAGCUGAGCUGCCUCUCUGGUGCUUUGAUCUUGCUUUUUAAUGACACAUACAUUAACUACCAAUAAGUCCCCCCACCCUCCAAGUUUAACAUCUUCAUUUGCAAAAGGAGGACAUCUGAGUCCCUCCAUCCUCACAGAUCCGGCAGUGUCUGCCUCUAACUCCUGGGAGAGAAGAUGUACUCAGGGACACCCCAGGAAGACUUUCAGUAAAAUACAAACUUUUGCUACUGGCUAUCUCUGGAGUCUGACCGAGUCCCUCGAACUGUAGACUUCUUCUAGAGGAUGGCUUCUCUAGACUUGGUCAUUCCUGUCCUUGUAUUCUUGUGGAUGGUCAAAACCUUUUGGAAACUUGAGUUCAACUCCCAUUUACUCCACCAAGCAUGGAUGGCAAACACGAAGAGAAAAACUCCUUAUGUUGCUGACCUGUUAGUUCCUCUUUAGUAACAGUAUCCAGGAUGCUGGGGAUACAGUUCAGUCGGUAGCCUGCUUGCCUAGUGACGGGGCUGUGGGUUCAUUCUCUAGCACCGCACAGCCAGGCAUGAAACCGGGUGUAGAAGUGCAUGCCUCUGAUCCCAGUGCUUGGGAGAUGAAGGCAGGAGGAUCGUAGGUUCAAGGUUACCCUACUCUACUACACACGGAGUUCAAAACCAGCCUCAUCUAGAGGGAGACCCUGCUCCCCACCCCCAACAAUAACAGCACUCAGAUUUCAUCCUUUUAGCUAAUCUAAGAAAAGUCAAACCCCUACCACUUCUUCAUAAUCAAACCCUUUUUCUGGACCUUGAACAGCCUGGAAUGGUUUUGCCACCCCAGUUAGUCCAGGACUUGGCUUUAAUUCCUAUUUCUAGAAAGGAAAAUUCAGUUCACUUCAGUAGGCAAAAAUAUGUCACAACAAAUGGUUUCUAAAGUAAGUGUCGGUUGAUUCCGAGUCAAUGCUGUUUAAAUGUCUGAAGAUGGUUGUAGACGGGAUUCCCUAACAGGUCUACGAUGUCUAUACUGAUGGAGUGGGUGGAGCCGGCUUCUGAAGGGAACUGAUGCCAAUAUCUCAUUCACACUUCAAGCCCUGAUCCAGACCCAAGUUUACCUGUGAUGGUGAAAAUCCAUCAGUGCAACGGGCGAGCAAUGCAUUUCUGCAGGAAGCUCCAAUAUGAAAGAAAGUAGAAAUCGGAUUGCAUGCAAAUCGAGAGAGAAGUACUAACUCUCCCCGAUUCUCAGCGCCUCCUUUCUCUGUCCUCGAAAAUCCCACCACCACAUAAAGAUUACGGACUGAUGAGAACUUCAUCUGUUACUAUGGACGCACGAGUGCUCCGCCAUCCUGACAGCUGGAAGGUAAGAGCCGCCACCUGACUUUUACGACCGGAGCAGCAGCCCUUCAAGUUUCUUGACCUAAAUAUUUUUACUCCUCCUGUUGCCUUUUAGAAAUGAAAACAAACAAACAACAACAAAACCCUUGGGGGGGGGGGCUAAACUUAACUAAAAAAUCGUGACCCUCAGAAUUCAGAGUCACACCGUCUGGGGCCCCACCUAAGGCUUCCUGGCUCUGAAUUUGACAAAAUCUCAUGAAACUCCUAUGCACACUGAAGUUGGAGAACUGGUUUCAUGUUCUGACUUCAGAGAGAAAAGAACCGAUUUUAAUGAUUCCUAGUGAAUGGCUUGUUUGGUGCCCUCUGGCUCUCCAUCCUAGUGUCUUCUGUUAUGAUUUUUAUGGGGAGUCGAAGCUCACUGCCUUCCCCCACAGCCUGGUGCAUCAGGGUGCGCCAUCCCCUUACUGACCAUGACCAUCCUCCGCACACGGCUCCUUCCUCUCCCCUUCUCCCAUAAGUAAAGCUCAUUUUGUGACUAAGAAGACAAAAGGACAUCAUGUCAGAGAAAAAGAACCAAACGAAUAAGGAGGAAACUGGAGAAAAGCUGGAAAAUAAAUUUCUGCAGCGAACACUACACGCACAGCCUGCUGGUGCGACCCACUUUUCAGGUGGCACUUGGGCAUUUGGCCACUGAGCGAUGGGCAUGGUCACGUGCAUUCUACAGACUUGGGAUUUCUUUGGCACUAAAGUUGGCUAUAAAUUGUGUAUAAAUGUGCAUGUGUAUGGGGGUGGGGGGAGUUGUAUCUUGUUAUGCUUAAGGUAGCCCAGCCAUGUGCCUGAAUGGGUCAGUUCCUACAGCUCUCCCAGGACAAAAAGCCUUGAUCUAUCCUAAUUAGAGUGGUUAUCUCCCCAUGGCCAUGCUGAGUGGCUGGUGGCUAAGGAGGCCAGCUUGGCCUUAUCCUUGGUCACUGUGAGAGCCAGCAGAGGGUCCUCCAUUGUUACUGUCUCUGAUACAACUCUUCUGCUACUCCAUGGAAUCACCUUAUUUUAUGGUGCCCUGGCUUAUAAUUUCAUUAGGCUGCUAACAUCUUGCUAACGGGGUUGCUAAGCAAAACAAGAGAUUAUCGUUCUCAGGAGUCCCUCUUGGGCCUGAGACAGACACCAAGCAUCCGAGUUAAGUCCAGAGAUGGUCUCUAAGACUUAGCUAGCAUUUCAAGAUGCAAAGGCAAUUAAAAAAAAAAGCAGCUUACCACCCAACUCAGGCUCCUGUCAAAAGCCCAUGAGUAUGUAUGCAGUGUGCAUGCAUGCACCUGGGUAAAAAUGUGCACACCACAUGCACACAGACUCUGAGGAGGUCCGAAGAGGGUAUCAGAUUCUAUGAAACUACAGUUGUCGAUGGUUCCGAGCUACCAAUGUGAGGACCUGGGAGGGGAAGUGAACCCAGGUCCUCUGAAAGGACAGCUCGCACUCUGAACAGCUGAGCAAGCUUUCGUGGCCAUGUUUUGAUUGUCUAUACACUAGGAAAAUAUAAUGGCAGUCAUUAGUGGAGGGAAUUUAUCCACAGAAGUUUUCAAAGCACAGAGAACACAACGGGAGCUUUCUGGCAACUGUAACAAAUGAGGCUUUCUUUGCCUGCAAGCCUGGCUGUCCCCUAGCUGUGGGCAUUGUGGCCUCAUGAUUCCACGGAGGAAACAGAAGCAGCCAACCAGGCAGAGCCUCGGUGGGGCUGACCUCAAAGGUGCUAUGUAAGGGAGGGUGGCCUUGAACUCCUGACUCUCUUGCCUCCACAGACACCAUCUUAAAGUUCCUUUACAAGCUUGAGGAGACACCUGAGGGCCUGCUGCUUGGUCAGGGCUGGAGAACAGGUUUAUUUUCCUCACCAUAACCUUGCACAACAGCCUUAAAUCUUUGCAAAGGAAUGAAAGGUCAGCACUUGCCCUGAGCAGAUGCCAACAGCACUGACUCUCUGGGUGACACCACCUUUGCCUUUCAGGGCUGGCCGUUUGAUUUAGAAUGUAAGAGUGCAACAGGAACUAAGCAGGGACUUCCUCUGCAUCCAUGGAAACGGCAGACUUAAUUCUCAACCUGCCCUCCUCCUCACCUCCCAUGUCAGUGAUUCGCGUCUCAACCAUCCUGGGAGUCAGAACACCAGGAAAUCUGGCCUCUGCCUAGGGAGGAGAAGCAGCACUGGGCUGAGGCCGGCUGUAUUUGAUUCUCUUCCAAAGAGGUGUCCUCCCCUUCGAAACAGAGGUCGGGCCAAGGCAGUGCUGUCAGUGAACUCAUGUGCUAAUUUAAAGGGAGAUGGGUGGGAUCAAGGGACAGUUCAGCAGUGAGUGGCCUUAGAGAACCUGCAGAGUCACUUCCCCUGUGGAGCUAGGAGUCAGUGAGAAAGCUGAACAGGGUGGGGGUGAGAUGAACCCUGAGAAGAAGGAGGAAGGAAGCCCAGCCCCGGGGACCGGGGACCGGGAGGGCAGCUGUUGGUGGGCUUGACAUCUGUCAUCUGAACAGUGAACCCUUGCAGAAAUGCAGGCGGGCAGGGCGUGGAUCGCUCGCAAAGCCUUGGCCUUGGCCCAGCUGCCAAGGGGAAACAGGUGGCCAGCCAGUCACCUCCCUCCACACCCUAGAAGGGACAAGAUUGAAGGCACACUGGAGUCUCAGUCAGGACAGCAUGCUUCUGUGGGGGUCUCUAGCGGCCUGCCUUGCCCACAAGUGGCAUGAAGACACACUUGCCGUUCUUGGGUUCCGUGCAGACUAUAAACCCAGGCGUGAGAGCUGCCAUGGGAACACAAGAAUGAUGGAGGCUGAGGCUGAGAACCCACCCUGAGAACACACGUUCCUGUAGGUGCACUCACCAGAGGUAAAUGAGAGAGGCAGCCAGAGCCCAGCAGUUAAGGCAGACACAUUCCGGCUGCGAAUAGGGGACUAGUAGAGCGCCCCAUAACCACACAGUGAAAUGGUAUAGGUAGGGCCCUCUUUAUAAGGUCCUGUAGCCCCCACGUUUUGUCAGACCAGAACAACAUGACUUCACUGAUGGGGUCCUUUAAGCUGGAGAGGGGAGCCCCUGGCAGAAAUCUAAUAAAACAUGUUUGGUAGUCACUACCCAUACAAGGGAGAACCAAGAACAUUUCGAUUUGUUGAUGACAAAAGGUUGUGGCCUUGCUCCUUGGACCUGGAGGAGCCCUUUCUUCUACCAAGGAAGGCAACUGCUUAGCAGAGCCACCCAAGUGCCGUCCACACCCUACCACUGAAUUAAUAAUGCUGAGUGGAGCUUCAAAGGAAUCCCCA